rnacentral:rRNA from 1 species
CGCUGGCGGCGUGCUUAACACAUGCAAGUCGAGCGGAAAGGCCCUUUCGGGGGUACUCGAGCGGCGAACGGGUGAGUAACACGUGAGUAAUCUGCCCUUGGCUUUGGGAUAACUACCGGAAACGGUGGCUAAUACCGAAUACGACCACUCCUUGCAUGAGGUGGUGGUGGAAAGUUUUUCGGCCAGGGAUGUGCUCGCGGCCUAUCAGCUUGUUGGUGGGGUAAUGGCCUACCAAGGCUUCGACGGGUAGCCGGCCUGAGAGGGUGACCGGCCACACUGGGACUGAGACACGGCCCAGACUCCUACGGGAGGCAGCAGUGGGGAAUAUUGGACAAUGGGCGGAAGCCUGAUCCAGCAACGCCGCGUGAGGGAUGACGGCCUUCGGGUUGUAAACCUCUUUCAGUACCGACGAAGCGCCGAUGAUGGUGGUGACGGUAGGUACAGAAGAAGCACCGGCCAACUACGUG